rnacentral:tRNA from 3 species
GGGUCAGUAGCUCAGCUGGUAGAGCAGUUGGCUCUUAACCAAUUGGUCCAGGGUUCGAGUCCCUGCUGGCCCACCA